rnacentral:rRNA from 1 species
AACGCUAGCUACAGGCUUAACACAUGCAAGUCGAGGGGCAGCAUGAACUUAGCUUGCUAAGUUUGAUGGCGACCGGCGCACGGGUGAGUAACGCGUAUCCAACCUUCCGUACACUCAGGGAUAGCCUUUCGAAAGAAAGAUUAAUACCUGAUGGUAUGAUGAGAUUGCAUGGUAACAUCAUUAAAGAUUUAUCGGUGUACGAUGGGGAUGCGUUCCAUUAGAUAGUAGGCGGGGUAACGGCCCACCUAGUCGACGAUGGAUAGGGGUUCUGAGAGGAAGGUCCCCCACAUUGGAACUGAGACACGGUCCAAACUCCUACGGGAGGCAGCAGUGAGGAAUAUUGGUCAAUGGGCGCGAGCCUGAACCAGCCAAGUAGCGUGAAGGAUGAAGGUCCUACGGAUUGUAAACUUCUUUUAUAAGGGAGUAAAGUCACCUACGUGUAGGUGUUUGUAUGUACCUUAUGAAUAAGCAUCGGCUAACUCCGUGCCAGCAGCCGCGGUAAUACGGAGGAUGCGAGCGUUAUCCGGAUUUAUUGGGUUUAAAGGGAGCGUAGACGGGUCGUUAAGUCAGCUGUGAAAGUUUGAGGCUCAACCUUAAAAUUGCAGUUGAUACUGGCGUCCUUGAGUACGGUUGAGGCAGGCGGAAUUCGUGGUGUAGCGGUGAAAUGCUUAGAUAUCACGAAGAACUCCGAUUG